ACAGAGGGUGCAAGCGUUAAUCGGAUUUACUGGGCGUAAAGCGCGCGUAGGUGGCCAAUUAAGUCAAAUGUGAAAUCCCCGAGCUUAACUUGGGAAUUGCAUUCGAUACUGGUUGGCUAGAGUAUGGGAGAGGAUGGUAGAAUUCCAGGUGUAGCGGUGAAAUGCGUAGAGAUCUGGAGGAAUACCGAUGGCGAAGGCAGCCAUCUGGCCUAAUACUGACACUGAGGUGCGAAAGCAUGGGGAGCAAACAG
rnacentral:rRNA from 1 species